GCUUCCUCCUACGUCCUCUAAAGAUGACUGGCACAGCUUCCCAGAAUAAUCACCUCACUGGUGCUGGGAAGAAAGAAGCGGAGCCGUCCAGUGUGGUGCGUGGACCCCCGCAGCCGAAUCACCUUGGAUGCAUCCUACUGACUCGGCCUCUCUGGGCGUGAGACCCCAACACUCAACAUUCUUAACACGCGAUCCAGUUCCCCAGGGGACUCGUGAUGGGCACAGUUUAACCCCAGGGUGCUGAGUGGAGGCUGGUGAAGGGGAAGACUGCACUGUACCUCAGACCUUCUCGCCCAGAACCUCUGAGCUGCCGGACAGAAAAGAACAGAGAAAGACCUUCUUGUACAGUAAUGCCUGGUGCAGGUGCUCAUAGAGAAUUCUUUAGCGAGGCGGAGACUCAGAGAAAGAUGGUGGAAACAGUUUUCUCCAUGACACGCUCUUCCCUCUUGGCCAACGUCAUCUAACCCUUACCCCCGUUCCCCGAUGGGGCUAAACAACAGCAAGAAGCGAACCCCACUUGCAAGAUCUUGUGCCAGCUAGCCAGACUGCAACCUUUAAACCGUGCCAUACCCACCUCCUCCCCAGCGAGAGAAUGAGAGGACAAGCUGCAGCAGGCUGGGAGCCAUCAGAAGUUGUUAAUUAGACACAACGUGUCGUCAUUUGCUCCUUUAACAAUCCCAUGUCUGAGAGAGUGAAAUGAGACACCAAAUAAAAGACUGAAAUAAAGCCUUACCUCACCAUCCAUCCAAAAACAAGAGAGAGGGUAAUUUUUUAUGUUUGUCACUCGUACGUCAAUGGGAACACAGACACAGAUGCCCGCACGAUGCCACCUCAGGGGGUAGAAAACCCAACUCAGAACCUGCCCAGGGAGGUUUACGGCAGCUCUAUUGAUAAUCACCAAAAAGUGGAAGCAGCCAAGAU